rnacentral:rRNA from 1 species
GAAACUAACAAGGAUUCCCCUAGUAGCGGCGAGUGAAGCGGGAAGAGCUCAAAUUUGUAAUCUGGCGUCUUUCAGGCGUCCGAGUUGUAAUCUAUAGAAGUGUUUUCCGUGCUGGACCAUGUCCAAGUCCCUUGGAACAGGGUAUCAAAGAGGGUGACAAUCCCGUACUUGACAUGACCACCAGUGCUCUGUGAUACACUUUCUACGAGUCGAGUUGUUUGGGAAUGCAGCUCAAAAUGGGUGGUAAAUUCCAUCUAAAGCUAAAUAUUGGCGAGAGACCGAUAGCGAACAAGUACCGUGAGGGAAAGAUGAAAAGCACUUUGGAAAGAGAGUUAAACAGUACGUGAAAUUGUUGAAAGGGAAACGAUUGAAGUCAGUCGUGUUCAUUGGACUCAGCCGGUUUUCGGUGUAUUUCCUUUGAACGGGUCAACAUCAGUUUUGUCCGGUGGAUAAAGGCAGGAAGAAAGUGGCUCCCUCGGGAGUGUUAUAGCUUUCUGUCACAUACACUGGAGGAGACUGAGGACUGCAGCUCGCCUUUUGGCCGGGGUUCGCCCACGUUCGAGC